rnacentral:rRNA from 1 species
CCUACGGGCGGCAGCAGUGGGGAAUAUUGGACAAUGGGCGAAAGCCUGAUCCAGCCAUGCCGCGUGUGUGAAGAAGGCCUUCGGGUUGUAAAGCACUUUCAGUGGGGAAGAAAGCCUUGGGGCUAAUACCCUCGAGGAAGGACAUCACCCACAGAAGAAGCACCGGCUAACUCCGUGCCAGCAGCCGCGGUAAUACGGAGGGUGCGAGCGUUAAUCGGAAUUACUGGGCGUAAAGCGCGCGUAGGCGGUCUGAUAAGCCGGUUGUGAAAGCCCCGGGCUCAACCUGGGAACGGCAUCCGGAACUGUCAGGCUAGAGUGCAGGAGAGGAAGGUAGAAUUCCCGGUGUAGCGGUGAAAUGCGUAGAGAUCGGGAGGAAUUCCAGUGGCGAAGGCGGCCUUCUGGACUGACACUGACGCUGAGGUGCGAAAGCGUGGGUAGCAAACAGGAUUAGAUACCCCAGUAGUC